rnacentral:rRNA from 1 species
UACAUGGGGGUGCAAACGUUGCUCGGAAUCAUUGGGCGUAAAGCGCGCGUAGGCGGUUACUUAUGUCGGAUGUGAAAGCCCUCGGCUUAACUGAGGAAGUGCAUUCGAAACUGGGUAGCUAGAGUACUAAAGAGGGUCGCGGAAUUCCCGGUGUAGAGGUGAAAUUCGUAGAUAUCGGGAGGAACACCGGUGGCGAAGGCGGCACUCGGUG